GGGUGCCUAGCAGGCAUUCCAAACUGUGCUGAUCACUUCGAACCGGCGUGUUUUGAGAAAGACUUAGCAGAAAGCAUCGGAUACAGAGGUAGAGGCUGAAACCAGCUGCGGUGCCAACUAUUUUUCCUACGGCCAUCAGGACCUCAACCACCAGCAAGAGAACUAAAUCUCACAGCCGCCACGUUGCCGUAGACAAGAGGGUCCUCCAGGUCCAAAGGGUGAAAAGGGGGAUCAAGGUGACCAGGGACCACGGAUGGUCUUCCCUAAGAUCAAUCACGGCUUUCUUUCCGCUGACCAGCAGCUCAUAAAGCGGCGUCUCAUUAAGGGGGAUCAGGGGCAAGCCGGACCACCCGGGCCUCCGGGGCCCCCAGGUCCUCCUGGCCCACGGGGGCCCCCAGGGGACACAGGCAAGGAUGGGCCGAGGGGGGUACCAGGCCUAACAGGUGAUCAAGGGAAUCCAGGAGAAAUCGGACUCAUGGGACCCGAGGGACCUCCAGGACUCAAGGGUACACUGGGGCCUCCUGGUAUUCCAGGUGUUGAUGGACUGAAGGGGGAUCUUGGCGUCCCGGGACUGGACGGCAUCCCCGGAGCCAAGGGUGAAAUGGGAGAGCAAGGUGAAAAGGGUGAUAUGGGGGAAGAAGGACCAAAAGGUGAAAUUGGGGAGAAGGGGGAUGCAGGCUCCUCUGCAGCAGGCAUCAAGGGCGAACCUGGAGAGCCUGGAAGAAGCGGACACAAGGGAGAGCCAGGACUUCCAGGGCUGCCUGGACUCCCAGGGAUUAAGGGAGAGCCAGGAUUCUUUGGUCCCCAGGGAGAGCCAGGUCUCCCAGGCCUUCCAGGAACUAAGGGAGAGAGAGGCGAGCAUGGAGCGCCCGGAAAAGGCGAACGAGGCGAAAUUGGACCCGUCGGGUCAAAGGGUUCGCAAGGAGAGGCAGGCACGCCUGGUCCCAAAGGGUCAAAGGGGGAAACUGGAGAUAAAGGAGACUUUGGGCCCGCGGGGCCAAAGGGCCCACCUGGGCAAAAAGGAGACCAGGGGGCCACUGAAAUCAUCGACUAUAAUGGGAAUAUUCAGGAAGCAUUACAGAAGAUUACCACUGUUACAGUGACGGGCCCGCCGGGUCCUCCCGGGCCCAUAGGACCGCACGGAAUCAAGGGGGACCGUGGUUUGCCUGGCCUCCCGGGACUUGACGGAGAACGCGGCUACAAGGGUUCCAAGGGAGACAUGGGAAUGCCAGGAGCGUCGGGUGACAAAGGAGCAACCGGUUUACCUGGUUUACCUGGUGUGAAUGGUGUGAAAGGAGACAAGGGAGAUUCUGGUCUCCCAGGUCCACAAGGUUCUUCAAUUAUUGGCCCUCCAGGGGUGCCAGGACCUCAUGGGCCCCCGGGACCUAUGGGACCCCACGGUUUCCCCGGACCAAAGGGCGAGCCCGGUUUGCACGGUACCAAGGGGGCACGUGGGGAACCAGGCCACAAGGGAGACCGAGGACCAUUAGGUCUCCCUGGAGCCUCCGGCUUGGACGGCAAGCCCGGGAUCAGGGGCACCGACGGACCUUCAGGUCCGGCCGGUCCGGCCGGCCCAAAGGGGGACAGAGGGGAGCGAGGGGCGGCGGGGGACCCGGGACCGAGGGGACCCUACGGAUUGCCUGGAGCAGCGGGAACACCGGGCUUGGAUGGGUUGCCGGGUUUGAGAGGAGAGAAAGGCGACGUUGGGGAAAGAGGAGAGAAGGGGGAGAAGGGAAAGAAGGGAAAAAAAGGGCCUAAGGGCGAGAAAGGAGAACAGGGUGCCCCUGGAUUAGAUGCACCCUGCCCAUUGGGUUUCCGGGGAUUUAAGGGUGAAAAGGGGGAGCCAGGGCAGCCAGGUCUGGACGGGCUGGAUGCCCCGUGCCAAUUGGUACAGUAUUCCUCUCUUUCCUCCACCACUCACCCUUCUGCACGCCACUCACUUUCACCCACGCAUGCGCAGCCAUCUUCUUUUGAUUUAUCGCACAUGUGCACAACACCCACUGCAUCCGACUAACUCCUUGACUGCACGCAGCCUUUUUUCAAACAAUACAAGUCGAUUGCGACGCACACAAAAAAGGAAACGAGUCAAUUCUGAUGAGCUCGCAUCAAGUCCCUUUAACGCACCCCCUUCCACGCCCCAUUAAAAAUCCAAAUCCCAUUUUCUUGUAGCUACUCCCUCCAAGUUCCCUGCUAACAUUACGCUAACCGACUUUUCUACUGAUUCAUGACCCCGUGCUCCUCCAGCCCUACGAUUAACUCGUUCCCUCCUCUUCUUGUACCAAUUGGGCCAGACCGUCACAAGAGGGAUACACGCCGAUGUUGCGUGAAGUUUCUUAUCAUAUUUCACGUGCUACACUGGAAGUCAAAACCGCAACGCGGAGCGCUUGUGCGCGUGCGAGCGAACUCGACAUUCACGCGCACGCGUUAAACUUUUCACCAGAACACAAAGAAACACUCAGCUUGCAUGCCAUUUACAGUACUUCAUUUUUUUAUGUGUAUUAUUUGCAUGAAUGACAAACUGUUUGUGUCCACCGUGAUCAUAUCGAAACCUGAGUACAGAUAUCACCAAAUGAUGAAAUUGAAUGCACUUGCAGUAAAUACAGUAUGUACGCACUACGACUAAAAUAUCGACAAAUGCAAAGUUUUUGUGUGACCCAAAAUGAGACCGAGAUAAAUUAUUUCAAAACUUUGAGUUAAAAGGACAUUUGUUAAUUAUGAACACAGCCACAUCGCCGGUUGUGCACAUUUGCACGUCUUUUUUUUUUUUUUUUUUUUUUUAUGAUUAUCUUGGUCUAUUUUUCAUAACGCAAAAACCUGGCAUUUCACAAGGGUUGUGUCGACUUUUUGUAUCAUCUCUAUGAAUAUUGUGCGUUAGUUAUGUGGCCUCGUAGCAUAAAAAUCAAUCCACCCAUCACCAUUUUGAAUGAGUGCGUGUGCUCGUUUGUUUGUGAACGGGCUCCCGAUUCCGGUUCGGUCUACAUUGUGCGUUUGUCGUGUGCACAGGGUCCCGACGGCUUGCCGAUGCCUGGCUGCUGGCAGAAGUGAUCACGCUAACCUGAAACGCAUGGAGUUUGUAAAUAAUGCUUUUUUUUUUUGUAUUUAUAGUUUUUUUUUUUUUUUUUUUUUAAUGGUGUUUAAAAAAAAAAAUUAAAAAAAAGAAGUCUGUGUAUGAAGAUGCAAAACCAACCCUGACAACAAAAGAAACCCUGGGAUGCUUCACACCCCUAAAGCUGCUUCUACUCACACCACCGCCUGGGAAAAACCUGCGUGGCCGCUCUCACAUCCACAUUGUUUGUGCGUUUGUGUGUUCGUUUGGAGCUUGUGGCGGAACUUCACCGCUUCCCAGACCGGCUGGGGUGCCACAGGGCCCUGGCCUCAGCCCGUUGGGACUUGGAGACAGGAAGCGGGGCAACCUGGAGGCCAAAACUGUGUUUUAUGUUGUCACUCAACGCAGCGUCAAUCGUUUACGGAGAAAAAAGACAAAACCUCGCCAAAGCAUGUUUAUACGUCUUGUGCGCACUGUUUUGGCUUCUGUGGAGGAAAAACUAACAACAACAAAAAGGCCGAGCGAGAGAGAGAGAGAGAGUGAGAGUUUUUUUUUUUUUCUCUCUUAAUUUCCACUUUUCCUAAAUCUUCCCAAGGGAGUCACGCCAUGGCUGGUGGCCUGAAAAGUCCUGAAAGUGAAAGAUGUUUGUGGCUUGAAGGCGCCCGCCCGUGCCUGCAAGAGGCGAUGAUGGGCGCUGUCCGCUGGGUACGGGGUGCCCACACCUCCUUUGGUUGGCUGCACUGAUAAGAGUCCACAAAGGGUUUUAGUUGGGUCGGGUGUACCCCCCCGCCCCGACCCACACCACGCCCCACGGACGGUUUUCACGGAGAAGGCUGAGGAUCUACUGAGAGUGUUGAUGGAAUGCAAUCAUGUUUUUGGAUUUUGUGUUUUUGAAUGUUGGUGAUCUUGCCAAAGCGCAAGCGACCUGAGAUAUGUUGCGUCGUAUGUUUGCAUGUCAGGUGCUUGUUCUGUCCCUCACAAAUAAAAAAAAAAUAAUAAUAAUUAACACUAUCAGAAAAUGUUUGCAAAUGUCUUGAAAAAAAAUACAAAGAUAAUCAGUCUGCUUUCAUGGAGGACGACAGAAAUCGGAGAAUCUUUAUUGUUGAGAGGCUGAAAUCGGAGGAUUUGGACAAUUUCACGUUAAACAAUGGCUCUGAAUGAUUAAUCGAUUAUCAAAAUACUUCUCGAUUAGUUGUUUUCGAUUACUUGCUCAUCAAAAUACUUGUUGAUUAAUUUGAUAAUUGAUUAUUUUUCAAUUAAUCGAUUAUUUUAUGAUCAAAAUCGGAGUCCAUUAAUUUGACAAUUAUUUUUCGAUUAAUCGAUUAAUUGAACCUCUAAACUCAACCUCGCUUGCAGCUCAAAAAAGAAGGCAAACAACAGCUCAUAACUCGAACAACCCGGGAUGUUAAGGCACUCUGAAAUUAAAGUACAUCAUUACAAAAAAAAAACCGCUGAAAAUGUCAUCGAUCAAUCGAGUUGUAUCCAUCCUUGGUGGACGUUUUGAUGCUUGACCUUUUGGUGACCAGGUCAAACAUCAAAGCACACCGACUCCAACCUGGACUGAAGGCCACUCCCCCCCCGGCGAUUUUCCAAAUGAUUUUGUCAACAGGUCACAUGACUAACGUACGGCAAAGACAUCACGUGACGGGAUGUCGGGGCGCUUUGGCAACAUGACGCUACGAUGAUGUUUUGUUUUCUCAAUGCUAAUUGUUUUCUUUUUGGUGUAUUAUCGCCUUUGGUGCCUGAAGCUUUUAUUCAUUCCUUUAUGACAAACUUUAAAGCAACUUUUCAUUUAUUGUGGGUUUUUUUUUGGAGAGGAACUGGUAUGUUUUUGUUCAGCUUCAAGUAGGUGCAAAACAACAACAACAACAAACACCUGAAUGCUACUUCGGGUUGUCAGUUCACUGCAUGCACAUUUGUAUUUUUCAUAAAUGUUAACACCCAUGAAGCCAUUUUGGUGCAUUAUGUUUCUAUAGUCGCUGCUAUGCGAAGUCGUUUCCUCCCGAACACGCAGAAGGAACGAUUCCGCCGCGCUCACCAAUUUCUUUGUCGAUGGUUGCCACCAUUUUGUUGCGUCUAACCGUGUAUUUGUUAUUUGAUGACAUAAUUUAUUUUUCUAUGAUUUCUUGGAUUGCUUGGGUUUUCCGAGCGGCAUUCCUCUGUGUCGCUUGGGGCGUCGCCACGACGACACAUCCGCUUUUAUUUCGGUGCCCUGAGUGUUGUUGGGCCCAGCCAAUGCGAUGUUUCGCUUUUCUCCUUUCCCUUUGCAUUGAAUGUAGUUUAGUUGGCGAGUUAAUGUACUGUUGAGAUGUGUGCUCAUUUGACAAAGUGCAAUUUUAUGAUUACCGUGUGUUUGUGUGGAACGCAGCUGGAACGUCACAUUUGAGUGAUUUUUCUGUCUCUCUUUGGUCCAGUUGUGCACCCCAUUUUAAAUAAAACCACUUUUUUUGGGUGUGGGGGGUGGGGGGGAUGACAAAUAUUAGAAAAGUGAACUUUCAGAUACAUCUCCUGUUCAAACGCUGUCCAUUCACCUCGUGUGUUCCCACAAAUAAUGACUAUUAAUGUAUUUUUAGUGUUCCUCUUUGAGUUUGAGUUUUUGGAGUUUGUCCGCACAAGGUGCUGUGUCUUUAGCAUGUGCAGCUAUUUCUUGUUUUAUUCAGUUUUAGCUCAUGGAUUCCUUUUUAAUCAUGUGCAGAAGUGCCAAAAUGUCGCCAUUCGGAAAUAUAUGAAAAGACUGUGAGAUGCCGUGCGUGGUUUUGGAACAAAGGACAAACAAUGUGUAAAAAUGUCAAUGAAAAACAGUUGUGUGAGUUGAAAUAUAUAUGUAUUAUUUUGGAUUGUGUUGGAGUUUCUGGUUUCUGUUCUGCAUUUGUACGAUUUUUAUUCAGUUUGUAUUAUGAUUAAGUUUUUGUUUUUUUUACACUUUUGAUUGACAUUUCUUUAAAAAAAAAUAAAUAAUAAUAAUGUGUUGUGUUGAAACGCAACUGACUGUCCUGUUGGAGCCAAAUAAACGCAGUCUUUCAAACGCAUCACUGGUAACCGCCGCACACAGUUGCAAUGCUCAAGAAUUUCAUUUAUGAAUGAAGUGCUUGCAGGUGACACCAGUAACACUGACAUUCAAUAAAGUGACCAUGCAAAAGUAA